ensembl:lncRNA
GGAAUAUCUCAGAAGCAGAGUUUAAUCACUGUGGCAGAAGGGGCUCUUUCAGAAGAGCACGUCCACCCUGGGAACACGCAGCCUCUGCACACUGCAGAGCGGAAGGAGGAGGGCAAGCCCCACUCUCCAGAAGCACAGCGAGCUCCUUAUGUCCUCGAAGAGCUCAGAAGAUGCUGAGCAGAUGAAACACUGUCCUGCUGGUCACAGACCUCAGCUGGAGCCUGUUGUUAGGGUCAGCAAAAAUGCACCAAGAGGUUUGAAGGGUUAAAGGUGAUCCUGAACAGGAAAGAUGUUUGCUCCCUCCUUCCCACCCCACCUUUAAAAUGCUGUGAAGGUCAUGGUUUGGGGUUUAAGAUGCUUCACUGGAGUCUACAGAGGGUUAGCAGUGGCCAUCCCAUAGCAGCACUGCCUGAUGUGGAGGACUUCAGAAGAGGCUGAUGUGGAGGACUUCACUGAGUCACUGUGUUGGAGAUGCCUUUAACCAGACACACACAGCUACCUGCACAGCUCCUGCAUGUGCACAGAGAAACAAGACAGGUAGGAUAUUAGAUCUCAUGAUACAAAAUUCAAGUUUGCAUGCUCAUUCUUUUGUUUCCGUGUCAUGGUGGCAAGCAGGGAAGAAGACAGCCAUGGAACAUUUUGUCUUUGGUUGCAAAGGAAGUGCAACACUCAAGACUGCUGCAUCUUAAUGCAACCAAAGCAUCUAAUUAACAGUCUGACGGGGACCACAUCUUGUGUCGUGAUGCAGUCCCAGCGGGGAGAAUGUUGCCUUUGCAAACUACACACUGAGAAGUGCUUGAGGGCUCAAGCCAAAGGAGACCUCAGUGAGAGAUCUGUGCUAACUGAAAAUCUACACCUAGAAGUCUUUUUGUUGUUGUUGUUGUUGUUGUUGUUUUUAAAUUUCAUAUGGCUAAUUGACAGACUUAAUUUCGGAAUAUAGAAAUUAAUAGAAAUUAUAGAAAUUACAAAUGCUGGGAAAGAUGGUCCAGUGAGUAAAGCACGUACAUGGAAGAUAUCAGAAGACAGUGGAUGACGUGACUGUCCAAAAAUGUGCUUUUCAACAUGCUCAUGCUAAUGCACAUGUGUAAUUUCCACACAUGCAAGCAAGAAAGCAAAGCGGUGGAGCAAAUGCACUCAAUUACUUCUCUGCCUCAGACUCCGUGUUGUGACCUUGGGUAAAUGAUAUAAGCCCAGACCUUCCACAGUCUAAACAUCUUUCAGCAUGUGGACCCUAAUCUCUGAACCUCAGCACUCUGUCUGCAAAGCGCCCUAAUCUCUGCUCUCCCACCUUUGGACAGGUUGUGCAAAGUCUAAGGUCCUUGAAUAACUACCAGCAGCAGGGCUUGAUCUCCUGCAUGCCUUAUCCCUUGUCAGAACAACUUCCAAAGCUCACCACACUAACUCUUUAUGUCAUCACACAAUACCUUGUGCAACCUGGUUUCUACUCUGUCAUCUGUACCAAAUACAUAACUUCAUAGCAACUGUUAAAGGAAUAAGAGGGGCUGUGCUGGAGACAAAACCCACAGUCUUUGUUCCACCAUAAAUGCAUUUGCAUUGUAAUCCAAAGAUGUGACAGAAGCUUGUAAGAGUGUGCUAGCUCAAACCAAAAGCCCUCCCAUUUCCAUGUACCAUGUUUCACGGUAGCUGUAAGAUAAUUUGUAAGCACAAAUGAUAAGCAUGUGACCAUCUCCUACUCAGGGGCUUCCUUUCUACAUUGCUGGGAAUCCUCAAUGAAUUUCCCUUCCAAACAUGCCCAGAGUCCACAGGUUUUUAGCAACC